rnacentral:lncRNA from 1 species
CAUUCUCCAGUCAGUCUUUUCCGGACUCGGCCAUCAGCGGGAGGCGGGACGAGCCGGAGACCGCGUCCUCUACCGAGCAGGAUCAGUCUUCAACUGGCCAAUUUUGCCAUUUGGCAAAGAGAAAAAUCACUGGGCAAGUUACUGCCUUGCAGUUCAAGACCCAUGCUUAACUAGAUUUCUCAUGCAGCCCAGGCCCUCCAGCACUGGUUAAUAGUCAUCUUCAUUCGUCCCUCGAAGACGUGCCCACAGACCAGCCCAACAAAAUCCCAUGUUACCACUAUGAGAAGGAUUUUCUUUCCAAAGCGGUACGUCCUUAAGCAAGUGAUUCGGAGUAGCAGACAAAGCAGAAAACAGUGAAAGCCGUGUGCGGGACUCUGACAGGGAGACUUCUUUAUGGCUGCCCUGUGGGUGACACAGCAGAUGCUAGAAUUCCAAACCGCCCCAAAUAAAAACUGAAGAAUAUCGGCUAGGAAGCUGCCCUGCGUUCGGGAGCCUCAGGACCAUCGCGGCUGUCCUAGAGGGCUGACCUGCAAUGCUAUGUAUGUAAGAAGACUCGAGCAAAGCAUCAUCAAAUAUAUCGCAGAAUUGUGUCCAAAUUUCAGCCCAGUUCCUGCGGCGCAGGGUAGGUGCCUGACUAGCAAGGCAGUGACGCACUGCAGGCUUCCUGCAUGCCGCGUUAGAACACUGAGGCAAACACCGAGUCUGUUUUGGAAAUGUUCUGAAGCCAGUCUAUUAACACAGCGAGCCGUUUGAAACGCAGCGCUACGUGUUUGGAGAGAAACACACGGGCUUUUAUUAGGGACAUGAAACAAACUCUUUGAGCCCCAGCAUCGCUGCGGGCGAGUGUAAUUGCCAGGAUUAAUAAAUCACAGCUGCGAAAGGCUGUCCUUGGCAACCUUCCUUAUUC